CCAUGGUAUAAUUAAUGAGAAAUUGAUUCGCAUUUUAUAUGUUUACGGCAUUUUGAGCCAAAUUCUCCGUGAGUUUGAUCAGGAUGCACCGUAUGUGUUUAAGCAGGGCGCUAUAAAACGUGUUUUAUAGCGCCCUGGUUUAAAUCCGCCGCACAUCGACACGAAAGCUAUUAGCUGAGCUAACGGCCUCGCGAGACCGCUAGCUUUAUUAGAUAAUAGAGAGGUUAAGAUACACCGGUUUCGGUGUACGGGUACGAGUAGUGUCAUCUUGUUUUAC